GUUUUUGUAGUUGAAUAACAACAGCGGUUUUUCGGGCCGAAGGUCUUGGUUAAAAGUUAAGUCCAAGUAAGAAUA
rnacentral:tRNA from 1 species